GGCUCUGUUGUUUAGUUUGUGACUCCCACAAUUUUAAAUAUCACUUCCGACUGUAAGACCCCCUUUCGGGGACCCCUUCUCUAGUCUCGGGAGUGUGAGAGCACCCAAAGAAACAUGAGGACCC
rnacentral:pre_miRNA from 7 species